ACUGACGCUCGGGGAGCAGACUGGCUACCGACCCCACCGUCUGCCGCUGCCCGGCUGACCCUCUGCAGCAGGUCCCGCCGCCGGGCAGCCCACCCUGAGGGCGACAGUGGGCACUAAGCAGCCGGAGGUCCCUAACCCGCCGCCCCUGCACCCCAGCCCUGUGGCCUGGUCACGACUUCCAGGAAGGCCCUGACUUGCCCCGACGUCCCUCCUGUGCAGAGCAGGGCCCGCACUCCCGAUCCCAGGACGCCUGGGCUGCUGCGAGGCCAGGGCACCUGCACCCAGGAGGCCUCCAGGAAGGAGCCACCGCUUUGCUUCAACGCCCGCAGCAAACAAACAAAAAACCCAACCCGAGGCUGGCAGCCCAUUCAUUCCUUCACGAGGAGGCUUCAGCCGGGAUCUGUUUGUUUUCCAUCAAUGGAAACCAAAACCGACCCUUGCAAGAUGGAGAUAUUUCACCAAAGAGGCCUCAGGACGUCUUCUAUCCCCUCUGAUGCUAUUUCCACGGAAAGGCCAAGAUUUCCUUCUGGUGCCUGAGACGGUAACUGCCGUUCCGCUCACUGAGCGCACGCGUGGCGCAGGGUACGGGCCUGACCCGUCAUCUCGCUUGUGACGAUGCUGAGAGGUUGUUUCCUUAACUUCUGCUUUACAGGGAGGAUGAGCUCGGGGAGGACUUCACGGGCCUCCGCUGGGCUCUGGGAGCUGCAGGCCUGUGCUCCUUCCCAAGUCCCAGUACCUGAUUCCACGGCUCUCAACGCCGGCUGCACCUUAGAACCUUCUGGAAGAGACUCUAAAAUACAGACGCUCAGGCCGCGCCCCCGAGAGCCCGAUGGAAGUGGUCGGCGCGCUGGCGUCCGGACUAUUUUCAGGCCCGGCCUGAGAGAGGGCCCGAGCUGGCGGUGGCGGGAGGCCAGUCGGCCAAGGACGCAGCCCGGAGCGUGGGAAUCCCGAAGGGCCUAGGCUCUUCCACGUGCCAUCAGUCUCUCCAUUUGCCACCGAGGUCGGGAAGACACAGACUCCCCCAAGGGCUCCGUGUCAGCGUGACGCAGGGACAGGAGGACCCGGGGACAGUCCAAGCAGUCUCAUAAGUCAGAAAAGACCGACUUCUGGGACCCCUGGGGGGCUCAGCGGUUUGGCGCCUGCCUUCGGCCCAGGGCGUGAUCCUGGAGACCCAGGAUCGAGUCCCACGUCGGGCUCCCUGCGUGGAGCCUGCUUCUCCCUCUGCCUGGGUCUCUGCCUCUCUCUCUCUGCAUCUCUCAUGAAUAAAUAAAAUCUUCAAAAAAAAAAAAAAAAAAAA
rnacentral:lncRNA from 12 species